GUGAGGUCAUGCUGGACCUACCUCAGCUCAGCAACCUCGGUACUUGAGUUCUGGCUAAGAAAGAAUGCAAAGCCAAGACUCAAACUAUAAGAUAAAGUGUAUUUAGAGAGUCACAGAGGUAGAAGAAGUGAGCCAUAGAAGAAAUGGGCUCAGAAAACCAGUUACAGAGGCAAAAGAAGGGACCCUUGAAGCCUAGGAGAGAGGACGUAAAGUUAAACAGAGGCAUAGAAGAACUCUAAACUUGGUUCCGAGGACCAAACUUGAACUUCAAUCGUUGAAGGAUUCCUGGAAUACUGUUUAGCUGGGAAGCCAUGGAGCCAAGAUUAGACCCACGUCAUCUGGCCACCAAAGGCCUCUGGUUGUGCAGGGUGAAUUGAGAAAGAGGCCAUGUGGUCUGGUGGCAGCAGCUGGGAGGAAAGCAAGGUGACUCAGUGCUCUGCGUGGAACAGUGCAGGGCAGCUCACAGGAGCAGCAAAGAUCAGCCUCCCUCCAGCCAUGAGGGAGCUGUUUGCUCUGAGCAGAAUCAGCUCGGCAGGCAGCCCUGGCUGGGAGGGGGGAGAGGAAGAAAGCUUUCCUGGUGGGACCUGGUCAGGAUGUGUCAGUGGCCUUGAGGAAACUGAAGAAACUCUGGGGGACUGGAACAUGUGUUAUCAUCCUAGUAUUGAAAGUUCUUUGUCACCUGAGCUAUUUUAGGGUGGGGAAGUACCAGGUAUUGGCUGACUAUGGGUCUAGGCAAGGUCUUGAGCCUAUAGCCUUGAACUUAAACUUCCAGAUGGUAACUGGAAUCUUUCAUGAAGCAUAGGCCACGGCAGGAUUAUUAUGCAUAUUUUUAGAAAUAGAGAAGUUUAUUACAAGAAUAGAUCUUCAA